UUUUAUUUUAUCGGUUAUUGUUGAAGGUCGUACGAUGACGUAUGGUUGUUAACACAUACUUUCUUUGGUUUCUUAUGGAAAUUUUUCCAUUGACAACAAACAUACCACAUCAUCUGCAUUAUAUAAGUAUUGUAUAAAUUACAACGUAUUUUGGUAAUCUUGCAAAAUGAUCGUAAUCCCGAAAAUCGUUAACAUAUUUUCUUAUCUUAAAAGGGGCAAGAAGGGUUCCAUCAACAGGCCAAUAAAUAAAAUUACAGUUAAUUUAAAAAAAAAAAAAAAAAAAAAUAGGUGUAUUUUUUCUCUCAUAAUAAUAGUAAACAGAUUCACAACAAUGUCAAUUUCAAGAAAGCAGACAACAGUUAAUUAGUCAAUAACAAUGCAGCAUCAAUGAUCUUGAAUAUAUGCUUCUUUUAACUAAAAUAUAAAGGCACAGAACCAGGACAUUGGAGCACAGUACCAGGACCGUUUUUCUUAUCACCAGCACAGCGUCAGGAC
rnacentral:lncRNA from 1 species